CGGCGGAUGCCGAGGCGGGGAUGAGGGCCGCUGGCCCGCGAUCCUCCCAGCAAGGCUCCGGCCUCGGCCUGAGGCCCGAGAUCUCCGCCUUGUGGCGCCCAGACGACGUGUGCCACACCGGCGGGGCUCGGGCGGGGGCUUGGGAGUGGGGACGUGAGCCAGGGGCGCUCAAUUUGUCUUCUCUCCCCCCAACCCACUAGGUUGGAAAGGUUUUCUUUUGGGGAAAUUUCUUCUCCGCAGCCUCACACCCAGUCAGCGGACCCUCCCACCCAGGAGGAAUCUCCUCUGGUCCCAUCGGCGCGUCUUCGUGGAGUCGCCAAACACCAGACAGAGGUAGCGGGGUGGGUGUGGCAGCUGCCGUUUCCUGACUCCGCGCCUGCGCGGAAAGCCCUUUGAGGGAGUGCGGUGGUGACUUACUAGGGCUCCGCACUUCUCAGCCCGAGAUUGAAAAGUAACCUUGAGAGAGUCCCUCCCUUCAUUCCAGGGAAAGUUACUAGAGGAUGUGCUCCAACAAAACAUGAGAGCAAGACAAGAAAGAGAAAGACAUGGGAUCCAGAAAAAAGGACCAGGAGAAUGUGAAGGGAAAUGCCAGGGUGAAAGAUAUGUGGCAGAAUUAGAGAGCAAUCAUUUUCACUGGAGAAAAAAGAUGGCAGACUCCAAGAAGAAAGACUGGUUAGUGUAACUGAAUUUAUUUAGAUUACUAAUUUUGAGUAUUUGGGUAGUUAUAUUGAUAGAUGUUUGAUAGAUCUAAUGAAAUACAUGAUACAAUUUGAGAGAGAACUUAAAAAAUAUAAGCAAGUAAAAAAAGGAAGCAAUUAUUAAUUCCAUGAAAACUAAAAAUUUGACAAGAAUGGAAACAGUGUUUCUUCAACUGUUCUGUGGUGGUGAAAAUUUUAAGACUUUUUAGAGCUUCUGAAAUACUAGUAUAUUAUAAAUCUCAAAGGAGAGAACAUGCAGCAUAGAGCACUAUACAAUUUAUUUUUAUUUUUAAUUACAUUACUUUAAAAUUUUUAAAAAUUAGUAUUCACAUGGUUCAAAAUUUAAAAGUGUAACAGACAGAUAAUUCAAUAUAAAAGUAGGCAAAAGACCUAGAUACUUCACACAAGGCUAUAUCUAAAUAGCAAAUAGCAAAUGAAUGUGAAAAGGUGCUCAACAUCAUCAGUCAUUAGAGAAAUACAAGUUGAAACCACAGUGCAAUAUCACUACACAAAUACAAGAAUAACUAAAAUUAAAAAGACAGAAUAUAGCAAGUGUGGGUGAGGUUUUGUAACAAUUGGAAUUCUUGUACAUUGCUGGUGGGAGUGUCAAUUGGUACAAUCAGUUUUGCAAACUGUAUGGCAGUACUAUUAAAAUUGCAGAUAUGCAGAUCCUCAGCAAUUCCUUGCCUAGGUAUAUGGACAUGCAUAUGCAUAUACUAGAAUGUUCAUAGUAGUGCUAUUUAUAAUAGCUUCAAACUGGAAAUUACCCAAAUAUCCAUAAGUAGUAGAAUGGGUAAAUGAUUUGUGGCCCAUUUACACAGUGGAAUACUAAACAGCAAUGAUACUGAGCAGUGUACAAUAUUGAUGAAUUGCACAAAUACAAUACUGGAUGAAAAAGCUAGACACAGAAAAGUAUACAUUUUAUGAGUCAAUUCCUAUUAAGUACAAAAAUAAGCAAAACUAGCCUAUGCUUUUAGAAAUCAGGAUAAUGUCUACUCUUGUAGAGUGGUCAUAGUGACUAGAAGGGACAUGAGGCCUCUGGGAUGAUAGAAAUGUUCUGUUUCUUGAUCUAGGACCUAGACUCUUGGUGCCAGUUACAUGGGUAUGUUCAGUUAUGAAAAUUCUUUGAGGUUACA